rnacentral:rRNA from 1 species
AUUGAACGCUGGCGGCAGGCUUAACACAUGCAAGUCGAGCGGGGGGAGGUAGCUUGCUACCUAACCUAGCGGCGGACGGGUGAGUAAUGCUUAGGAAUCUGCCUAUUAGUGGGGGACAACAUUUCGAAAGGGAUGCUAAUACCGCAUACGCCCUAAGGGGGAAAGCAGGGGAUCUUCGGACCUUGCGCUAAUAGAUAAGCCUAAGUCGGAUUAGCUAGUUGGUGGGGUAAAGGCCUACCAAGGCGACGAUCUGUAGCGGGUCUGAGAAGAUGAUCCGCCACACUGGGACUGAGACACGGCCCAGACUCCUACGGGAGGCAGCAGUGGGGAAUAUUGGACAAUGGGGGGAACCCUGAUCCAGCCAUGCCGCGUGUGUGAAGUAGGCCUUUUGGUUGUAAAGCACUUUAAGCGAGGAGGAGGCUACCGAGAUUAAUACUCUUGGAUAGUGGACGUUACUCGCAGAAUAAGCACCGGCUAACUCUGUGCCAGCAGCCGCCGUAACAC